rnacentral:rRNA from 1 species
AGCGAACGCUGGCGGCAGGCCUAACACAUGCGAGUCGAACGAACCCUUCGGGGUUAGUGGCGGACGAGUGAGUAACACGUGGGAACGUGCCUUUAGGUUCGGAAUAACUCAGGGAAACUUGUGCUAAUACCGAAUGUGCCCUUCGGGGGAAAGAUUUAUCGCCUUUAGAGCGGCCCGCGUCUGAUUAGCUAGUUGGUGAGGUAAUGGCUCACCAAGGCUACGAUCAGUAGCUGGUCUGAGAGGAUGACCAGCCACAUUGGGACUGAGACACGGCCCAAACUCCUACGGGAGGCAGCAGUGGAGAAUCUUGCGCAAUGGGCGAAAGCCUGACGCAGCCAUGCCGCGUGGAUGAUGAAGGUCUUAGGAUUGUAAAAUCCUUUCACCGGUGAAGAUAAUGACUGUAGCCGGAGAAGAAGCCCCGGCUAACUUCGUGCCAGCAGCCGCAGUAACAC